AUUGAACGCUGGCGGCAGGCCUAACACAUGCAAGUCGAACGGUAACAGGAAGCAGCUUGCUGCUUUGCUGACGAGUGGCGGACGGGUGAGUAAUGUCUGGGAAACUGCCUGAUGGAGGGGGAUAACUACUGGAAACGGUAGCUAAUACCGCAUAACGUCGCAAGACCAAGAGGGGGACCUUCGGGCCUCUUGCCAUCGGAUGUGCCCAGAUGGGAUUAGCUAGUAGGUGGGGUAACGGCUCACCUAGGCGACGAUCCCUAGCUGGUCUGAGAGGAUGACCAGCCACACUGGAACUGAGACACGGUCCAGACUCCUACGGGAGGCAGCAGUGGGGAAUAUUGCACAAUGGGCGCAAGCCUGAUGCAGCCAUGCCGCGUGUAUGAAGAAGGCCUUCGGGUUGUAAAGUACUUUCAGCGGGGAGGAAGGGAGUAAAGUUAAUACCUUUGCUCAUUGACGUUACCCGCAGAAGAAGCACCGGCUAACUCCGUG
rnacentral:rRNA from 1 species